rnacentral:rRNA from 1 species
UACAGAGGUCUCAAGCGUUGUUCGGAUUCAUUGGGCGUAAAGGGUGCGUAGGUGGUGGGGUAAGUCGGAUGUGAAAUCCCGGGGCUCAACCCCGGAACUGCAUUCGAUACUGCCUUGCUCGAGUACUGGAGAGGAGACUGGAAUUACGGUGUAGCAGUGAAAUGCGUAGAUAUCGUAAGGAAGACCAGUGGCGAAGGCGAGUCUCUGGACAGUUACUGACACUGA